AUGCUUGAAGCUGAGAGGUGCUCGCUCGCGGGCUGUUGUACGUAUCUGGAACUAGAAGCUCAGUCUGGUACGCACGUUGCGGAGGGUGCUCGUACUGUCGUACAGGCCGAUUCUUUGAUCAGUAAUUAUUGGGGCGUGAUCCCAGCGGCUGGCCGUGCCGCGGCCAUCAAUGCCGCAUUUAGUGAAGCCUCCCGAGGCCAGCGGCGGCCUCCGGCACGCAACCUCACCGCCGGGCUCGGUCCCGGCCGCCGCGAAACCCUGAGAGCUACGCGGCGGUGUCGGCAUGGUCCGCGAGGUCGCCGUCGGGGGCGCCCACGUGGCGCCCCGACGGGGCCCGAGAGGGACGGGCAUUCAAGCCGGUCGAAAGGGAGGCCGGGGUGGCAAGUGAGGUGUCCCGGCUCCGGAGGUGGACUUCCUGUGCGCCGGUGCUCCAUCAUGACCCCUCCCGCGCUUGAUGACGGUCCAUGCGAUGCAACGCAAGACCGUGGGCGCUGGCCUGACCACUGUGGAGUCGUAGCGUCGUCCGGCCCGGGGCUUCAAUGCCGCGAGAUUGGUAGGGUCUUGGGUGGGUAUAUGCCUGGAUGGAUGUGUACUGGACUGCGGCAGUGGUAUUGGACGAGCACGCCUGUAUGCGUGUGCGCGCUGCGUUUCUCCCGUUGUGGCUGUUUAAGAUUGCGUGGAGUGUUCGGGCUCACGGCAUCUAGAGCCUGGACGAUGGCACUCCGGCGCAACCGAAACACCGGAGCAAGAGGAUUUCAGGCAAAAGCUAGAAGCACCGGGACACCGAUCUCCAGCUUAUUAUUAGUUCACUUCGCCCCACGUAUAGCCGUGGCAAAAAAGCGUCGCUUGUUUGGUGCCAAUGCGUCUACGAAAAGUCCACUAGGAGCAGGGACAGGACAGCACCAACAAUGCAAAAAAUAG
rnacentral:rRNA from 1 species